rnacentral:snRNA from 1 species
GUGCUUGCUUUGGCAGCACAUAUACUAAAAUUGGAAUGAUACAGAGAAGAUCAGCAUGGCCCCUGCGCAAGGAUGACAUGCAAAUUUGUAAAAAAAAAACAAAAACAGU